GUGGGCUCAGGCAUAACAGCUAUUGUGAGGAUGGCGUAGGACCAGGUAGUGCUUCAUUGUCUCGUACAUAGGGUUGCUAUGAGUUGGAACCACUCCAUGGCACCUAACAAUAAUAACACAGUUACUUUUGCCAAAUGCUGGCAUAUUUUGGAAGAGUAGUUUUUCCAAACCACUAAGGGUUGAUCAGUUACGCAUUUUCUUGUUUCUGUUUCCACCAAAGACAUACUACGCCCACACACAAGCUCAGCCAAGAAAAUGGCCAGUCUCAGCAUGGGAGCUAGUGUGGCACAGUGAAGCAGCUUUAGACUGGACAUCAGGAUCGGGGCUUCUCAUCCAGACUCUGCCACUAACUAUAGGCUUUGGCCAUAGGCAAGUCGCUUGUUCUCAGUUUCUUUAUGAAAUGAGGGUUUCAACCCAGAUGAUUUCCAGCUCCAGAAUCACCUGAAUCUGCUUUUUCCGGCCAUGCUGUCUAGAAUUGUACUUGGUCAUCUGAUGACUGUAAAGGAGAUGUGAAGAGAACCGGGUAAGAACCUGCUGAGCUGCUUAAACAAUGUAGCAGCUGCCUACCUCCAGCCUUCUUGUUACAGAGAUAAAAGGAAAGAGAAGCAAGCAGAGAGAGGAGAGACCUCACUAACACUAAGAAAGACAAGCUGGGAGCAGAGCACGUCCUUUGGACCCAAGGUCCCUGUGCUAAGAACUUCCUAGACCCAGGGGAAGAUUGAUGCCAAGCCACAUGGAGAUCUCCAAGGAACCC